rnacentral:rRNA from 1 species
CCUACGGGUGGCAGCAGUGAGGAAUAUUGGUCAAUGGACGCAAGUCUGAACCAGCCAUGCCGCGUGCAGGAAGACGGCUCUAUGAGUUGUAAACUGCUUUUGUACGAGGGUAAACCCAGAUACGCGUAUCUGUCUGAAAGUACCGUACGAAUAAGCAUCGGCUAACUCCGUGCCAGCAGCCGCGGUAAUACGGAGGAUUCAAGCGUUAUCCGGAUUUAUUGGGUUUAAAGGGUGCGUAGGCGGUCUGAUAAGUUAGAGGUGAAAUCCCGGGGCUCAACUUCGGAACUGCCUCUGAUACUGGUCGGCUAGAGAGUAGAUGCGGUAGGUGGAAUGUAUGGUGUAGCGGUGAAAUGCAUAGAGAUCAUACAGAACACCGAUUGCGAAGGCAGCUUACCAAGCUACAUCUGACGUUGAGGCACGAAAGCGUGGGGAGCGAACAGGAUUAGAUACCCGAGUAGUC